rnacentral:rRNA from 1 species
AUUGAACGCUGGCGGAAUGCUUUACACAUGCAAGUCGAACGGCAGCACGGGGCAACCUGGUGGCGAGUGGCGAACGGGUGAGUAAUAUAUCGGAACGUGCCCAAUCGUGGGGGAUAACGUAGCGAAAGUUACGCUAAUACCGCAUACGAUCUACGGAUGAAAGCGGGGGAUCGCAAGACCUCGCGCGAAUGGAGCGGCCGAUAUCAGAUUAGGUAGUUGGUGGGGUAAAGGCUCACCAAGCCAACGAUUUGUAGCUGGUCUGAGAGGACGACCAGCCACACUGGAACUGAGACACGGUCCAGACUCCUACGGGAGGCAGCAGUGGGGAAUUUUGGACAAUGGGCGCAAGCCUGAUCCAGCCAUUCCGCGUGCAGGAUGAAGGCCUCGGUGUAACUAGCUUUUGUACGGUAACGAAACGGUACGUGCCCUAAU